GACGGAGGGUGCUAGCGUUGUUCGGAAUGACUGGGCGUAAAGGGCGCGUAGGCGGCCGCUUGCGUCGGAUGUGAAAGCCCGGGGCUCAACCCCGGAACGGCAUCCGAUACGGGGCGGCUCGAGACCGAGAGAGGUGAGUGGAAUACCCAGUGUAGAGGUGAAAUUCGUAGAUAUUGGGUGGAACACCGGUGGCGAAAGCGGCUCACUGGACAUUUCCUGACGCUGAGGCACGAAAGCCAGGGGAGCAAACGGG
rnacentral:rRNA from 1 species